GACGAACGCUGGCGGCGUGCUUAACACAUGCAAGUCGAACGGAAAGGCCCUGCUUUUGUGGGGUGCUCGAGUGGCGAACGGGUGAGUAACACGUGAGUAACCUGCCCUUGACUUUGGGAUAACUUCAGGAAACUGGGGCUAAUACCGGAUAGGAGCUCCUGCUGCAUGGUGGGGGUUGGAAAGUUUCGGCGGUUGGGGAUGGACUCGCGGCUUAUCAGCUUGUUGGUGGGGUAGUGGAUUACCAAGGGUUUGACGGGUAGCCGGCCUGAGAGGGUGAACGGGGACAUUGGGACUGAGAUACGGACCAGACUCCUACGGGAGGCAGCGGUGGGGAAUAUUGCACAGUAGGCGGAAGCCUGAUGCAGCAACGCCGCGUGCGGGAUGACGGCCUUCGGGGUGUAAACCGCUUUCGCCUGAGACGAAGCGUGAGUGACGGUAAUGGGUAAAGAAGCACCGGCUAACUACGUG
rnacentral:rRNA from 1 species